AGGCAAUAUAACUUUGUUGGGUGCCAUGGAAAGCGGGAAUUUCGAGGGCUUAAAGUUUUUGAAGUGCUAUAUGGACCAAUGGAUUGGUGAAUGAGUGAGAAGCUGUGGUUUGCUGCAUUUGUUUUUCCUUUAAACUGUAUAACAUUUAUUUGUUAUUGUUUUGUGUAUACUGUGGACAUUUUUGUCAACAUGUUCUCCAAACAAAAAAUGUAUUAUAUAAAAAAGCAUACUGUUUUAAAAUUUCAUAGUAAUCAGUAUUAAUAAAAAAGAUAAACUGG